GGGAGAUCUUGUUUAGCAAAUAAGACACACAGACACGAAAGAGUGCAUAACAAGUUCUCAAUGAGUAUAUUUUCAGGGCUAGCAUUUAUACACAAUUUCUCAUGCAAGCAGUGAGAUCUAUAGUGUCCUUGUGGUUAAUAGUACAUACUUGUUGGACAUGAAAAAGAUAAGCAUUUGGAUGAAGACGAGACAGGAACAUCCUAAGAUCAAGGAAGGUCAUACAUCCUGUAGAGGAAAGACCUUGGUACAAAAUACAUCUGCCAAAGUCAGCAUAAUUAUUUCAAACAUUAUUUUAAAGCAUAUAAAGCAAAAAGAGUUAACCAUUUCACUUCCUUACACACAGGGUUAAAGCAGCAGGAAACUGAUAGACUCCUUAUUACACACAGAGUACACAGGGUUAAAGCAGCAGGAUACUGAUAGACCCCUUACUACACACAGUGUACACAGGGUUAAUGCAGGAUACUGAUAGACUCCUUAUUACACACAGUGUACACAGGGUUAAUGCAGGAUACUGAUAGACUCCUUAUUACACACAGUGUACACAGGGUUAAAGCAGCAGGAUACUGAUCGACUCCUUAUUACACACAGUGUACACAGUGUUAAAGCAGCAGGAUACUGAUGGAUUCCUUAUUACACACAGUGUGCACAGGGUUAAUGCAGGAUACUGAUAGACUCCUUAUUACACACAGUGUACACAGGGUUAAAGCAGCAGGAUACUGAUAGACUCCUUAUUACACACAGUGUACACAGGGUUAAAGCAGCAGGAUACUGAUAGACUCCUUAUUACACACAGUAUACACAGGGUUAAAGCAGCAGGAUACUGAUAGACUCCUUAUUACACACAAUGUACACAGGGUUAAUGCAGGAUACUGAUAGACUCCUUAUUACACACAGUGUACACAGGGUUAAAGCAGCAGGAUACUGAUAGACUCCUUAUUACACACAAUGUACACAGGGUUAAUGCAGGAUACUGAUAGACUCCUUAUUACACACAGUGUACACAGGGUUAAUGCAGGAUACUGAUAGACUCCUUAUUACACACAGUAUACACAGGGUUAAAGCAGCAGGAUACUGAUAGACUCCUUAUUACACACAGUGUACACAGGGUUAAUGCAGGAUACUGAUAGAUUCCUUAUUACACACAGUGUGCACAGUGUUAAUGCAGGAUACUGAUGGAUUCCUUAUUACACACAGUGUAACCCCAAAGUUGCCUCCUGCAUCAAUGUUCACUCCUCCCCUGGGGGAUCAAGGAUUAUAAACUGUAGACGUAAAUUGCUUCCAAAUCUUUCUUCUAAAUUUCUAGAAGUAUUCUAACGUGGUGAUGGUGGUGUUUCAUGGUUGUCGUGUCGCCUGGCUGAGUGUUGCAGUGUGCCUAGGCUUGUUACCACGCCAACGCAGUUGGUAUACAGUUGUGCUCAAACAUUUGCAUACCCUUGGUAAUAUAUGUAUAAUUUUUAAAGGCAAAAAAUUUUUUAGGCGUUCCUAAAAUUUAACUUUUAUUAAAUAUAAUUAAAAUUAAUCCUUGUAAUGAUCUACAUAAAAUGUAAAAUGUAUACUCACUACAGAUUAGAGCAGGGGUAGUCAACCUUUUUAACACUUACAGCCCACUUUUGUAUCUUUGUUGAUGGUAACAUUUCUUUACCGCCCACCAGUGCAGGUGCGAUUUUUAUUUUAUUUUUAGAAAGGUGUGG
rnacentral:lncRNA from 1 species